rnacentral:pre_miRNA from 1 species
UUUUAUGGAUAAGCAAAGAAAGUGGUUUCUUGAGAUAGAAUCUUCUCCUAGUGAAGAUGCUGUGAA